rnacentral:rRNA from 1 species
AAUGUACGCUGGCGGCGUGCCUAACACAUGCAAGUCGAGCGAGAAUAAAUUGUUGAGAUUUCGGUUGAUACAAUUUAUGGAAAGCGGCGACGGGUGAGUAACACGUGAGUAAUCUGCCUUAUACAGAGGGAUAGCCUCGGGAAACCGGGAUUAAUACCACAUAACGCUUAGAUAUCAAAUGAUGUUUAAGCCAAAGUGUUUAGCGGUAUAAGAUGAGCUCGCGUCCCAUUAGCUAGUUGGUGAGAUAAAAGCCCACCAAGGCGGUGAUCGGUAGCUGGUCUGAGAGGAUGGUCAGCCACAUUGGGACUGAGACACGGCCCAGACUCCUACGGGAGGCAGCAGUAGGGAAUCUUCCGCAAUGGACGAAAGUCUGACGGAGCAACGCCGCGUGAACGAUGAAGGCCUUCGGGUCGUAAAGUUCUGUUGUUAGGGAAGAAACAAGUAUCGUUCGAAUAGGGCGGUACCUUGACGGUACCUAACCAGAAAGCCACGGCUAACUACGUG